GCGUCACUAGGAGCCCGGCGGAGCCCCGGGGCGCACGGGCCUCGGGGCUCCUUACCCUCCACCCCCCGAGUCCCGAGCGGCCGAGGCGGAGCGUCCUCUCCGGCCCGGGGGCCCGCACCCCCGACUCCCGGGGCCCCAGAACCGGCCCCGCCCUAGAGGCUGCGCCCGCCCUGCCCGAACCCGGUUUGUCUGGUUCUCCUCGCGAGGCUUGUUUCUCGAAUUUCUCCCUUUCCCCCUCUUCCUGGACCUCCGGGGCCCUCCCUCUCGGCCCGGCUUCCCGGGGGCCCCCGCAGGGGGCGUCUCGACACCGCGAGCCCGCCGAGUUUCGUUCUACAAUGGCAGGCCUUUGACCUCACUGGAAAGAGAAGACUAGAAAUGCUUGACUUAUAUUUCCUACUCCUGAAAGACAAUCAUCUUGAUGGGGUUAGGAGUGGGACACCGGAGCCAGACUACCUGGGUUCUAACCCCAGCUCUGCCUUUCACAAGCUACAACGGGAUGAGGUGGUUGGACGACAUCACUGACUCAAUGGACAUGAGUUUGAGCAAGUUCUGGGAGCUGGUGAUGGACAGGGAAGCCUGGCAUGCUGCGGUCCAUGGGGUCGCAAAGAGUAGGACAUGACUGAGCAACUGAAGUGAACUGAACUGAACUCUGUGCCUUAGUUUCCCUCAUAACAGGGUGUUGUGAAGAUUAAAUGAGUAAUAGUGCAUGAAGUAUUGUUUUGACCAGUCCCUCGCACAGAGUAAAUGUUCAAUAAAUAUCAGAUAUUGUU